rfam:Lysinibacillus massiliensis 4400831 = CIP 108448 = CCTG 49529 contig7, whole genome shotgun sequence.
UGGUUGAAGUAGAGGCUGCCCGCUUCUCACCUGAGAUGACGCAUUUGCUGUUAGCAGGUAUGACACGUUGAAUUUAUUACGCUCGAAUGCGUAUGGAUAUAUAGCGGGCGGACAUCUUCUAAAUGUCCGUCUUUUUUUAUGGAC